rnacentral:rRNA from 1 species
AGAGAUGCUUUGGUGCCUUCGGGAACUCUGAGACAGGUGCUGCAUGGCUGUCGUCAGCUCGUGUUGUGAAAUGUUGGGUUAAGUCCCGCAACGAGCGCAACCCUUAUCCUUUGUUGCCAGCGGUUCGGCCGGGAACUCAAAGGAGACUGCCAGUGAUAAACUGGAGGAAGGUGGGGAUGACGUCAAGUCAUCAUGGCCCUUACGAGUAGGGCUACACACGUGCUACAAUGGCGUAUACAAAGAGAAGCGACCUCGCGAGAGCAAGCGGACCUCAUAAAGUACGUCGUAGUCCGGAUUGGAGUCUGCAACUCGACUCCAUGAAGUCGGAAUCGCUAGUAAUCGUAGAUCAGAAUGCUACGGUGAAUACGUUCCCGGGCCUUGUACACACCGCCCGUCACACCAUGGGAGUGGGUUGCAAAAGAAGUAGGUAGCUUAACCUUCGGGAGGGCGCUUACCACUUUGUGAUUCAUGACUGGGGUGAAGUCGUAACAAGUUAAACCGUAA